rnacentral:ncRNA from 2 species
CGUCCCGCGCAACUCCCAGCCGCGUCGCCUGUGUCCGGUGGAUAUGGCAGCGCGGCCGUGGUCUUCGUGACCACCGGGCCGGUCUGGAAACGCACCGGUCUCCCGUAUUUGGAAAGGAGUCACAUGAAAAACCUC